GAUGAACGCUAGCGGCAGGCCUAAUACAUGCAAGUCGAACGGGAUCCAGAUCAAAGCUUGCUUUGGUCUGGUGAGAGUGGCGCACGGGUGCGUAACGCGUGAGCAACCUACCCUUGUCAGGGGGAUAGCCCGGCGAAAGUCGGAUUAAUACCGCAUGACAUCAUUGAGAGGCAUCUUUCGAUGAUCAAAGAUUUAUCGGACAAGGAUGGGCUCGCGUGACAUUAGCUAGUUGGUAAGGUAACGGCUUACCAAGGCUGCGAUGUCUAGGGGCUCUGAGAGGAAGAUCCACCACACUGGUACUGAGCCACGGACCAGACUCCUACGGGAGGCAGCAGUAAGGAAUAUUGGGCAAUGGACGGAAGUCUGAACCAGCCAUGCCGGGUGCAGGAGGACGGCCCUAUGGGUUGUAAACUGCUUUUAUACGGGAACAACCGUCGGUACGUGUACCGGUCUGAGUGUACCGUAAGAAUAAGGAUCGGCUAACUCCGUG
rnacentral:rRNA from 1 species